ACGAUUGCUGUAAACUCUUCACAGGCGCUGAUGGUGGAACACGGGUUAAGUUGUCGAAUUCAAUUAUUAAAGAGAAUAAUAUUGCAUAUUUUCGGUACAGAAGAAGACAACAGCCUAGGCUAGAUCCGUUUUCAACCCUGGAAUCAAACUCAUCCAGUCACCCGCAUUCAUGGAGAACACAAAAGAAGCGGCCCCGGCCCCGGUCAUGUGUGAGGUGUGCGGGACCUACUUGAAACGCGGCGGGGUCUCUCCAGUCACGCCCGACUCCACCUCCGUCAGCUCGGCGUGGCUGUCUCGGACAACAGCGGAGCUCCAAUCGACUUGCUCUACCAGCUGAUUCAGGACAGGGACGGUUCCAUGCAUCCACUCAAACCCAUCUACUCUUCACC